rnacentral:rRNA from 1 species
CGUAAGACAGUUCGGUCCCUAUCCGCCGUGGGCGCAGGAAACUUGAGGGAUGCUGUUCCUAGUACGAGAGGACCGGAACGGACGAACCUCUGGUGCACCAGUUGUCUCAUCAGAGGCACAGCUGGGUAGCUACGUUCGGGUGGGAUAAGCGCUGAAAGCAUAUAAGUGCGAAACCCUUCCCAAGAUAAGGUUUCCCUUCCCCUUCGGGGGAGUGAAGGUCCCCUGUAGACGACAGGGUUGAUAGGUCACAGGUGUAAGGUCAGUAAUGGCUUCAGCCGAGUGAUACUAAUUGACCGUCAGGCUUUACCAA